rnacentral:lncRNA from 11 species
GGAAGCUGCAAGCGCUGUCUCUUCCUCAUUUUCAAAAUAACGUAUAUUUGCAGGGAAAUAAUUCAAGGUUCGGUGGCCAGAGGGCUUCUCUGUAAGCAACGCCGCCUGAGGAGAAGAAUUAGAUGACCUACCAUCCUAUUUCUCACAAAAAUUGGAUCUUUCUUCAGCACCGAUAACUGAAGAGCAUCCUUCACUACAACGGAAGGCAACAGGCUACAUGAAAGGGCUGAACUGAAAUCUGGUGAUUGACCAUAGCCCCGUCCCUGUCGUACAUCCAACAGAUAAAGAACCAUAAGAAGAAAGCAUAGCAGCGUUGUUGUUGUCGAUCAGCAGUGAGCAUCUGCACAGCUGUCUUGAGCAGGCGUAGAACUCAGGGAUGCCUUUCUUCUCCUCCCUCCUCCACAAAUCUGAAUGAUCUGGAGAUUAUAAAAUAUCUCCCUUCAGACCCCUGCUAUCCUCCACAGACUCCUCAGAAAUUACAGGUUGCAACUCAUCAGCCCCUUCCUCAUCCUCUGAGCACUCAUAAAACUCAUCUGAUGCUUCCCAGGCUACAACACCAUAAGGAAAACAGAACAAGAAAAGCUAUUGGAAGGAUUCUAGAGUGAAUAUUUAGUGAGGUUAGCUUGCUGGAUAAGCAAAUGCCAAACCUUUGGAAGAAACAGCCAGAACCAUGGGGGAGAAGACAAACAUUUGGCUGCCUCCUUUCCUGAGAGCAGCUUGAGAGAGAGAUCCCAGAUGGCUGGCUCCUACAACUUUUGGGAGGUGGAGAGCAAGUCUGGGAAUUAUUGCAGUUUGAUGCCAACCCACAUAUACCUUUGCUUUGUAUGGGUCAGAAAAGAGUGGGUUCUGUAGGGCAACAACUGAGUCUCCUCACAUAUACUAAAUCAAAUCCUACCAUAUGAUUUCUCAUUCUAAGUCUUUGCUUGUAUGUACUGUACCCUCUGGAAUAAUUACAAUGGGUUCUUCUGUGUUAAUGACUUUAUUUCUAUUUGGAAUAUGUACUGUGGUUAUUCCUCAC